rnacentral:lncRNA from 1 species
GUUGCAGAGAUGGAAACCCAGGAUUCUCCAGAGAAACAGAACCAACAGUGUAGAGUUUUAUUAUGAUGGAUUGGCUCACGUGAGUAGGAAGGGUGAGAAGCCCCACAAUCUGCCAUCUGCAAGCUGGAACCCCAUGAAAGCCUGAUGGUCUAGUUUCAGUCCGAACUUGAAGGCCUGAGAACCAGGGGAACCAAGAGUGUGUCCCAG